GGAAAAUUCAUAGGUAAGUGGCACAGACCGUUAAGAAUCUAAUUUAAAUCACAAAGAUACUCUGGCAUUUGUCUGGAGACUGGCUAAGGAUAAGCUAACAGAUAUUAACUAUUAACUAACUGAGGAUGUAGAGGUAAUAGAUGAGGGUAAGAACAAUAGCAGGAGAUAUUGUAGUGGAGAGUUUUGGACAAGAAAGUGAGGAAGUGGUACCUGAACAUGAGGGACGGCUGGAAAAAAGGAAGGAGAAAGAAGGAAGCCCUGUGGAGUGUGACGCAGAAUAAUAUUAAUAGCCUCAUCUUGGGAUUAAUGUGAUGAGCUACAAGUAGAGAACAUUGAACAAAAUAGAUAACUUAUGGAAAAGAUCAAAUAAGAAAGGAGUGAUGUUUUUAGUUAAGGAAAGAUUCAAAAUGGCUGGAUACAAAGUGGUGAUGGACUAGCAGAUGCAUUAAUAAUUAGAGUCCAAAAUAUACCAGGCAAAAAGACGAUUCAAAGUAAGUGACAUACCAAACAAUUAAUUAGUGAAAUCAGUCUUUGUUGACUCUUCCAAAGCCUUUCAGUUUGUCGACCUCAGUAUACUGUUAGGAAAAAGAGCGAUAUUAAGACAUGAGGUAUAAGCACUCCUGAUUCAAAGGCUAUUUGACUGAUAGUGUGUGUGUCCUAAAUUUGUUUUCUUAUCGUAUGACAUAAUUAUAGUUUUAGAUCCUCAUCAGUCACUGCUACACUACAUCUUGCAACCAGUAUUUGGAGAACACAAUGAGAAUAAUUGAGGGUGGUUGCAUCACCCUCAAUCACGAUCUACAAAACUCAAACGAUGACCAAAGGGGCAAUGGAUCUGUACAUGCGUGAGGUGGCGAGGGGCGUGGCCAGGGGGCGGCUAGCAGCGUGUGCCACCAGGGAAAAGUGUAUGAACAUAAAAAAAGGCGCCUGUCAAGAAAGGCACAGAUGCAGGGUGGUGAGGCAGUGUUCAUCCCAGGGGCACACCACACAGGGUCAGCAACACAGGUGGUGAUGGAGAGGCACCUGUGGGACGCCCAGGGGAACACCAAACACGACCUUGACAGACAGAAGAGUUUAUUGGUGAAGUGUGAAAGAGGAGGAAGGAACAAUGAUAUUCGACCAGCUGUGGCAUCUGGGGCCUUCACUUGACUGGGACAGCUGUGUUUACAAUGGAUGCAGCGAGAGACUGGCCUGUGUGUCUGUCUGUACAUCCUGACGGAAGCAUUUGUCCGUCUGUACGAUGCUGGGCUGGUGUACCGCAAGGAGGCUCUCGUCAACUGGUGCUGCAGCCUUCAGUCGGCCAUCUUGGACAUUGAAGUGGACCACCUGCGCCUGACAGGACCCACGGAGCUGGCAGUCCCGGGGUACAGCAAACCGGUCAGCUUCGGAAAGAUGUGGGACUUCCCUUACAGACUGGCAGACUCAGGGUUUCCUGAGGUUUGAGGCGUGGGGGGCAGUGCCGUCGGCCCUGUCGGCACUGGGGCUGUACAGAGGGUGCCACGCCCACCCCAUGACGGUGCCUCACUGCAGCAGGACGCAGGAUGUCAAUGAGCCCGUGCUGAGGCCCCAGUGGUUCGUUCGGUGCAAGGAGUCGGCACAGGAGGCGUCCGAGGCUGUGCAGAGCGGCCGUCUGAACCUGGUGCCACAGCUGCACAGGAGGGCUUGGCAUAGCUGGCUGGACAACAUCACAGACUGGUGUGUCUCCCAGCAACUCUGGUGGGGCCACAGAAUGCCAGUGUACCACAUCACUGCAGCAGAUGGCGAGGAGGUGUGGGUGGCGGCUACUCGGAGGAGGAUGCAAGACGGAAGGCUGUGGAGAAGGAAGGCACACCCUUGACCUCCAUGUCCACCCAGCAGGAGGAAGAUCUGGACACCUGGUUCUCCUCUGGUCCCUCCCUUUGCCUCGCUGGGCUGGCCGGGUCAGGGGAGGGGAGAGACCAUGCCUGACCUUGCUCGCUUCUACGCAACGACCUUGAAGACGGGUCACGGCAUCCUCUUCUGGGUGGCUCAGGUGGUCAUGCCGGGACUCAACUUGACGGGGAGGCUUUCCUUUGAGACUACUACUGUAUGGCCUCCUGGGUGAUGGUGGCGGCCGCAAGACGUCCAAGUCCUGGGGCAGUGUGAUAGACCCCCUGGAUGUCGUCAGUGGGGCGUCCCUGGAGGUACUGUGCGAGAGGGUGGAGGGGACCCUGAACGCGGAAGAGGUACUCGCUGGUCUCGUAUGAAGUCCCCCACAGGCAUCCCAGAGUGUGGAGCUGAUGCCCUUUGGUCCACCCUGUGCUCCACCAGCUUCAGGAGUCAGUGUGGCAUAGAUAUAUGUGGAUGACUGUGGUGUCUUGUCUUGUGUGGAGUUACAAGGUUGGUGUAUGGAUGGAACCGUCACCCCAAACAAUGAGUGGUGGAGGGUGCGUUCUGCAUUGACAGCUGGCAUGAGCGGUGACAGGAGCCAUGGGUGCCUUGCCUCCUCGCACCACCACCACAAGCACCACCACUCCUGCCAUCACCUACGAGGGGGAGAGACUGUGAUGUGGCUGCAGGUGGAUAGGUUCGGAGGCCUCCAGAUAGCCGCCCAGAGUGAAGCUUGUGGUAUAGAGGGACAGCUGCUGAUUAUCAAGCUUAUGGAGUGACUGGAGGAAAGUGGGAGGAGCCUGGAGGGAGUGGUGGAGGUACAGUACUUGGAGAAAAUCCCUCCACCAUGAUGACUGGGUGUCUGCUGUACAGGCCACCAACCAAUGGUGAGAGAGGGAGGGAGACUGGCUAAUGGUGGAUGUGAGAGAGAGAGAGAGAGAGAGAGAGAGAGAGAGAGAGAGAGAGAGAGAGAGUCUUGAUAAAUAAUAUUGGGCACAGGCUUCACCACUGGGUCGACUGUGAGGGCUGCGUUCUUCUGCUAGGGAAGUAUUGGCUGGUUGGUGGCCGCGGCUGUUCACGCACUCGCUCUUGCUGUGGCUGGCAUGCUGUUCUGUCCUCUCUUGUUCCAGGAAUUGCUGUCUGAGGUGUGUGUGUGUGUGUGUGUAUGUGUGUGUGUGUGUAGAAGCCAUCAUGAUCAACCACAGCAGGUGAUAAUGAUGGUUCCUGCUUUCAUCGUCAUCGGGGCUAGCCAGACCAACCUGGGGCUGUACUGGGGUGACGCUGUAUGCCUCAGGUGUAUCUGGAAGGCUGGGAUAGUGAGAAGGUAACAAUUAAAAAGGACUAGUGUACACUUAAACCAUUACAAACACUAUGUAAUGCUGGUAUACACACACAAACACUGGUAUACACUUAGAGACAUAUAUAAACACUUGCUAAGGUUUGUAUACUCUUAGAAAAACACAUAUAAACUCUUAAUAAGUCUAGUAAACACACAAACUUGUAUACAAACACUAGUAUAUACUUAGAGACACGUCCAAACCUUUGCUAAGUCUGAUAUAAACAUAUAAACUCAUAAGAGAUGCUGGUAUAUGCUUGGAAAUCUAUACACACAUUAGGUAAGACUAGUAUACACAAAUCUAUACAUAUAUUAGGAAUUUAUUGAAUGAUUGAGAUGAUACGUACUCUCUCUCUCUCUCUCUCUCUCUCUCUCUCUCUCUCUCUCUCUCUCUCUCUCUCUCUCUCUUUCUCUUUCUCUUUCUCUCAUAUCCUUUGUCUAUCUCAAAUUUUCUCUUUUAAUCCCUCCCUCUCUGUCUGUCUGUCUGUCUGUCUGUCCCACACCUCAAUACACCCUUCCUGUCUUCAUAUACCUUAGUACACCCUUCCUGUCUGCCCCUGGACCUUAAUACACCCUGUAUCACCCUUGCAUCUCAUUAAACUAUCCCUAUUUCUCCACCUCAAUAAACCCUGUCUAAUUUCCCUGUCUAGCUGUUUGUCUCAUCUUAUUACACCCUGUCUCUCCCUGCUUCUUGUUGCACCCUUCCUUUCCCCUACUCCUCAAUACUCCCUUCCCACCCUGUGUCAUGUGUAUAUAUUUAAGUAUUUAUAUUCAUUUGUGGCAUUCUUCAUGUGUUUUUGGGGUGUUUUGAGUGUGUUUGGGUGUGUUUUGGGGUGUUUUGGUCAGUUUUGGGUGUGUUUUGGGGUGUUUUGGGUGUGUUUUGGGGUGUUUGGGUCAGUUUUGGGUGUGUUUGGGUGUGUUUUGGGGUGUUUUGGGGUGUUUUGGGUGUGUUUUGGGUGUGUUUGGGUGUGUUUUGGGGUGUUUGGGUCAGUUUUGGGUGUGUUUGGGUGUAUUUUGGGGUGUUUUGGGUGUGUUUUGGGUGUGUUUGGGUGUGUUUUGGGGUGUUUUGGAUGUGUUUGGGUGUGUUUUGGGUGUGUUUGGGUGUGUUUUAGGUGUGUUUGGGUGUGUUUUUGGGUGUUUUGGUCAGUUUUGGGUGUGUUUGGGUGUGUUUUUGGGUGUUUUGGUCAGUUUUGGGUGUGUUUGGGUGUGUUUUUGGGCGUUUUGGUCAGUUUUGAGUGUGUUUGGGUGUGUUUUGGGGUGUUUUCGUCAGUUUUGGAUGAGUUUGGGUGUGUUUUGGGAUGUUUUACGUGUUUUUUUUUGGUAUUUUAAAGGAGUUUGGGUGUGUUUUGGGUGGCUACGGGUGUGCUGUGGGUGGAUAAGGCUGUUUCUGGGUGUUUAAGUGGGUGUGGAUGCGUUUUGGGGUGUUUUGGAUGUGUUUUGAGGUGUAGAGAGAUAGACGUGAUGUGUGCAAGGUGUCUCAGUCCCUGGAUGGGUGUAGCAGUACGUGGUGGUGCUGUCUGGGUCUCGUGGUGUGUAGUGCAUGGGAAGGAACAGAUAAUUUAGGGCAGUUUUUCAUAUUUAAUUAUUUUGUUUAUUAAUUUAUUUACUAUUAUCAUUAUUUUUUAUUGUUUUUAAUUAAAGGGGGGUUAAUUUUUACGCUCAUCGUUUGUGUUCGGGAGUGGUUAGUGCUAUUGACAAAAAAAGGGAGAUCGUUUUAUUUUUUAGUGUGGAAAUUGUCGCAGUUGUCAGGUGUUGAUUGGUGUUGAGAGUCGCAGGUCCCGUCUCGCCCUCUGUCAUAAAAUAAACAAUAAAGGGUUGAUUUUCA